GCUCCCAGCGGCAAUGGCUGAGAAAUAAUGCCAACGAUGGUGCCCAAGAAUAUAGCCAACAGUUGCCACGCCUUCAUUAGCAUCUAUAGC